GGUAGUGUAUGCAAGAGGUCAAAGCAGGCAGUCUGUAAAACUGUUCCCGUUAGGGUUCGUGGGUUCGACUCCCACCACUAUCA
rnacentral:tRNA from 1 species